CCUACGGGAGGCAGCAGUGGGGAAUAUUGCACAAUGGGGGAAACCCUGAUGCAGCGACGCCGCGUGAGUGAAGAAGUAAUUCGGUAUGUAAAGCUCUAUCAGCAGGGAAGAAAAUGACGGUACCUGAGUAAGAAGCCCCGGAUAACUACGUGCCAGCAGCCGCGGUAAUACGUAGGGGGCAAGCGUUAUCCGGAUUUACUGGGUGUAAAGGGAGCGUAGGCGGGAGUGCAAGUCUGGAGGGAAAGGCGGGGGCUCAACCCCCGGACUGCUCUGGAAACUGGACGGCUGGAGUGCAGGAGAGGUAAGUGGAAUGCCUAGGGUAGCGGUGAAAUGCGUAGAUAUUAGGAGGAACACCAGUGGCGAAGGCGGCUUACUGGACUGUAACUGACGUUGAGGCUCGAAAGCGUGGGGAGCAAACAGGAUUAGAUACCCCUGUAGUC
rnacentral:rRNA from 1 species